UACGUAGGGUGCGAGCGUUAAUCGGAAUUACUGGGCGUAAAGCGUGCGCAGGCGGUUCGUCGUGUCCGAUGUGAAAGCCCCGGGCUCAACCUGGGAAUGGCAUUGGAAACUGGCGGACUCGAGUGUGGCAGAGGGGGGUGGAAUUCCGCGUGUAGCAGUGAAAUGCGUAGAGAUGUGGAGGAACACCGAUGGCGAAGGCAGCCUCCUGGGCCAAUACUGACGCUCAUGCACGAAAGCGUGGGGAGCAAACAGG
rnacentral:rRNA from 1 species